CUUAGGCCCAAAGUAAAGAA
rnacentral:siRNA from 1 species